UGUGGUUUUCGGAUAAUCGCGGUUUGAGUAAAUCUAACUGAGGAAAGUCCAUGCUCACACAGACUGAGAUGUCUGUAGUGUUCGUGCUCAGCGAAAAAAUAAGCUGAGGUAUUUCAUUUAUUUAAGAUAACGGCAGGAAAAAAAGCUAAGGUGUAUUUGAUACACUAUGCUUGAGUAUCCUUGAAAGUGCCACAGUGACGAAGCAAUAAGAGAAAUCUUAUUGGUGGAACGCGGUAAACCCCUCGAGUGAGCAACCCAAACAAAGGUCGGGGCGCUUUUUGCGGCGGAAUUCAACGCUAGCAAAAAGACAAUGUUUCAUUGUAGACAGAUGAUUAUCCAAGUUAUCUUGCCCCUGUAAGAUGACUGGACAAAACAUGGCUUAUAGAAAAUCACAAUAA
rnacentral:RNase_P_RNA from 1 species